UCCUCCCUCUUUCCUCGUGCCUAAUACAUGCAAGUUGAGCGCUGAAGGUUGGUACUUGUACCGACUGGAUGAGCAGCGAACGGGUGAGUAACGCGUGGGGAAUCUGCCUUUGAGCGGGGGACAACAUUUGGAAACGAAUGCUAAUACCGCAUAAAAACUUUAAACACAAGUUUUAAGUUUGAAAGAUGCAAUUGCAUCACUCAAAGAUGAUCCCGCGUUGUAUUAGCUAGUUGGUGAGGUAAAGGCUCACCACGGCGAUGAUACAUAGCCGACCUGAGAGGGUGAUCGGCCACAUUGGGACUGAGACACGGCCCAAACUCCUACGGGAGGCAGCAGUAGGGAAUCUUCGGCAAUGGACGAAAGUCUGACCGAGCAACGCCGCGUGAGUGAAGAAGGUUUUCGGAUCGUAAAACUCUGUUGGUAGAGAAGAACGUUGGUGAGAGUGGAAAGCUCAUCAAGUGACGGUAACUACCCAGAAAGGGACGGCUAACUACGUG
rnacentral:rRNA from 1 species